UCACCAUUUCACACUAGAUCUACAAGAAUAUCAAAUCACCUAAUGCUGCACAGAAGAAAUAAAAAACCCUUCGGACCCUACAUCAUAAAAUGAUGUAGCGUCCAUGGACGGUUAGUAGGGCGAGCAUUAGCAUGUAACUCAGGGGAUGGGGACAAGAUAAUGUAAUUACCAAAAUCCAUUCAUAUACCAUAUGCACCAUAUUUAUAUAUAUAGAUAAUGCGUGUGUGUGUACAUAUAUAUAUAUAUAUACAUAUAUAUAUACAUAAAUAUGUAUAAAUAUGUAUGUAUGUAUAUAUAUACAUAUAUAUAUAGGAUGUCGGGAUAAGGACAAGGGUCAUGAACAUGGGAGUUUAAAGAUUUAACCUGAACUAUGUAUCUUGAUCCAUUCUAAAAACACCCAUAGGCUAUAUGGGUCCAGCUUCCCCUUCUAAAAGGCCCCCAGUGCGUGUUAGCCGCAUGAACUAAGGAAAAACCACUAAAAGUCCAAAGACAUCAAGGUCAUAGUCCUCCCAAAAUAUAUAAAAACGUGUUCCCCAAGCAUAUAGUCAAAUGGACCCCUAACACCGGCAAACGUGGUUUUCAGUGUCGAUCCUUCUGGGAUCUCCACCUUUAUGGUGAGCAAUACAAUUCUCUUUACUUCUAUAUUAAAAUAAUUUGCACAGAACCAACCAUUAACCCAGGAGUCAUUCAUUAAGACAUUUACUACUUGGUAUCGUCAUACGAAUAUGCUUGCAAGCUUAUAUAAUUAUGUCAAAUCAAUUCUCAUAACCAAAGUGACUCCUAAGUUCCAAUCCAUGGCAACCAAGUCCAUCCCAAAAUCCAUUUUUUCCAUCAGACCUUUAAUGCAAUUAAAUGGGUUCAAAAGAUAAGUUAAAUCAUGCAAUUGUCCAUAUUCAAAGCCAAGUUUACAAAGUGGAUUGAGGUUCAUACCAUCAUCCCAUCAUAAUUUUAUCAAUUUGGAGAAACCCAUGUCCUCCAUUCCAACCAUUUAACCAAUUCACCAAUUCAGUCCUAAAAGCAUCAAUUUAAAGCAUGAAUAAUCAAGUGAAAACACGGGACAAGUAGUUCAAGCAAUAACAAUAAAAAAUCCUCAACCUCAAUUUCAAACCCAUCACUUAAAACACAUGAAUAUCUAAUAAAUUAAUGCCACAAUAUAAAUAUACAAGUUAGGAAUGAGUAACAUGCCUGAAAUAUACAAGGAUUUGAAGACAAUUCAAAGUUUGGAGCCUAGAGUAGUAAUUUCUUGAAAAACCCUUGCGCUUUCUUGAGUUUUGCAUUUAAGAGAGAAUGAUAAUGUUUUUCAUCUUUACAAAUUGAAAGGGAAGGGUUAUUUUAUGUUUGUAAGUCGUGCAAGGGGUAAAAAGAGCAAAAUCCACUCACUCCUAGUUAAGAAAUCAAAAACUAGAUGAUAUUAAAACAGCAACAUGGCACGCUAUUAUCGCGGAGGUUAUCCUCUGUGCCACGCCUUUAUCAUAGAGGCUAACCUCUAUGAUAUGCUAAUGUUGCGGAGUCUCACUACCUCAGAGUUCCAAAAUAGCCUCGAACCCCUUUCAAAAGUUCCAAAACUUUUCCAAAUAUCAUUUUAAAAUCUCCAAACAUAAUUCUAGUAAAAAAUUGACAUUACGCAUGUGGGAGGGUCAAAAAUAAAAUUGUUAAAAUUUUAUGGGGUCUCACACCAUCCUUCACAGUUAUAACCUUGUGCAUAAGCUUUAUCAUGAUAGUUAAAAGAUUUACACCUUCAAACUUGCACAAUGACUCCAUGAGGAAUAGGUUCGUUCUAGAAGCAAUAGUUUGCUUUUCAAUACGAGGUAACAAAACUUUGUUGACAAACUCAAGGAGUAACUAAAACUCUCAUUUUGAGACUUCUUGAGAAUCCCAACACUAGUUAAGCUAUCCAAUCAUCUAAUGUAUGUCACAAACUUAGGAGUGGCUGUCAAAUUCAUCAGAAACUUGAUCCACUCCUUAGGCAUAUCUAGAAUAUGAUUAAGUAUUGUCUUAUCAAGAUGAAUCUCUAUCCCACACACAGUUGUUGAUAGACUCAAACCACCCUCAGAAAGCAAUGUACUAUAUUAAAAGUCUUAACACCUUUAUUUCAUGAACUUUAGCAAAAGGUAAAUUAUAAAGAUAAAUCCAUUCUUUGAAUUUAACAAUUUCAACCAGUUAAUUUAUCCCAGGAAGAUCUAAAUCUCAAGAUCAAGUAAUCUACCCUUAAGGACGUACUACUUACUUAGAAUUUUGAUUCGAUCUUCCCAUGUUAGAACCUUGGCAACUUUUUGAAUUUUUGUUCUCGACGCAGUACCUAGUCCCUUUGGAUAAUCAACUAUCUUUCUCUUUACUGCAAUGGUCUUCUCCUUAGAGAUACUCUUGGGUUUACUCAUUGAUAUCAUGAUGAUUUUGAUAGAACUAACACUUACCCUUCUCUAUGUCGUUGUAAUGGCAACAUCUAAACCAAUUCUCUUAUUAUUCUCCUUUCAUCUUUUACGCUAACAACCUUUCUCUCAUAACAUCUCCCGUGAAAUUCUGCCCUAUUUCUCAAGUCCUAUACGUCCUUAUUACCUCUCCUACAACAUCAACCUUUUUUUUAUUUCGAACCUUUUUGUCAACCCCUUUAAAUGUCCAAAGUUCUUCAUCUUGGUCAUCAACCCAAUCUACUCUGUUGCAAGAAUAUUUGAAAGAUUUCCUAUUUCUUUUGGAAAAUCACCAUCAAACAUGUGCUCAUCAUCUGGUGGAGAGUCAGAGAGUUUAUUGGUACCUGGUCCCUUAGAAAUUUCUUUUGUGACUUUUGUUUGGGCAGGUCCAGGUUGAGAGUUUUGACCUAUUUUUAGAAGUGAUUUAAGAGCCUUUGAUGCGGAGGAAAGCAAUGCAUCAAAAACUUUAGGAGUCAUUUUUGAGUUGAGAGAUGAAGGAAUAUGGUCCUUUUCUAGGGUAAUAAAGAUGGAUAAUAUAGCCUUUUCAUGAAUAAAUAUAGUGGAGAUAGUAGUUUCUAUCAAGGAUUUUGAAAAUUUAUGUGAGUUUUGUUGAUGAAUAGGGUAAUAAAGGAAUUUACUCGCUAAGAGUUGUAUAGAUGGGGAUUACAGUUGAGACAUUGUAGAGUAGAUGAUAAUAGAAGGAGCAAAGAGUACAAAAGAAAGGGAGACAGAUAAUAGAUCACGGGAACUGACAGAAACAAGAAAGGAUAAAUAAAUGGGAAGAAACAUGUGGAAUUUUUUAUCAGUUUUCAAUGCAUUUUCAAAAUGAAACAUCUAUAAUACUAACCUCUAAGGAGAGACUUAUUCCCUCUGGUAAAUUUUUGAAAGAUAUUUGGCUUUAGCCUGCUUUAUCUGCCUCCCUAAUUGAAC
rnacentral:lncRNA from 1 species